CAGCUGAGCAAAUAUAUUUGUAAAUAAGAAACUGAGCAUUUUUGGCAUGCAUAUUAAAUUCAUACCAAAAGUGAAUACUUUUCCUCAUAAAUAAUGAAACAUUUGAAGCUGUUCGACUGCUGCUGACACCUGUUUUUCGACCUUCUCUCUGCGGUUCUUAACAAAGGGAGCAAAGGAGAAGGGAAAUCUGGACGCUUCUCAGGGUUUGUUUUGCUUGGUGUUAGUGCCUCUUCCUUGAUUGAGAACUUUGAUAUAGUAAAAGAUGAAGGGAAUGCUUUGUGUGGGUCUUAUUGUGGCCUUAGAUUAUAUCUGAGGACAGGAUAUGUCAACUGAUAUGCCCCAAACCACACAGCUAAUCUGUGGUACAGGAAGGCUCCGAUCCAGGUUUUUGAUCUCCAGGCGCAAAUGCCCUAGGUCAACCAGGAAGUGAUGGUCACCAUCGCAGAGAAGUUAAAGCCUGAGGGAAAAAGAUCAUCUAAGAUGAAGAAUCUCCCCUUUGCACUUACUAUCUGUGAGCCGAUUGCUUAGAGCAUGUCUCUGUAUGUAGUGUGGCAGAUUACAGGAAGAUCAAUUUUCUGGCAAACAGUUUAUAAAUUACUUCAUUGCUCAUAUCAGCAUCAUCUGAGAUUUCUAUCUGUCUGACUAAACCAAACAAUAAAACAGGGAAAAACUUCUCUUUCCAUGGGAACUGCACAAGAGCUAAGCCUUUCUGCCUACUGGCAACCCACGCUUGGGUGGGAGUUUGACAGCAGCUCUGAGUAAAUCUUUCUCUACUUUAGAUGUUACUAUCUGAAUCAGGAGUGGGAGGAAACAGGAUGGGACUGGAGGAAAAACAUCUUGGCGCAGGCAGCCUUGGGAACAGCUCCUCCUGUCUCUCUUGUCACCUCCAUUGCAACUGGAUUGUUCUUUCCUUACUGUAGUAAUGGAUCAAGGUCACUGACAUUUCUAGCACCAAAUGACCCGGACCUGUGUGCCCCACUUCUUAUAAUUGGGGUUAAAGCCUCAAUCCCAAUAUUCCAGGUACAGUUAUUAUAACUGUCUUGUCUCUUCCUUCCCUCCAACCUAGAACUGAGGUAGAGUGUUUUUCUAGGAAACUCCCUCUCCAGAAGGACUAAAAUCUUGGCCCUGAUCCUCACGAACUUGCUUAAUAUCCUCUGCACAAAGAUUGACACCACUUGUCACUUGUGAACUGCAGCUUAAAAGUCAACAUCUCUUGGAACCCUGUUGGCCACAGAUUAUUUGCCUCAAAUCUGGUUGGAGAUGGGUCUAUUGUUCGGGCAUCAUAUUGUAUCUGGCCUGCUGAAAUCCCAGCGUUUGUUUGAAAUUCCCAUCUCAUUCUCCUGGUCAGAAGGAGGUCAGGCUUGUGCCAGAAUAAACCUGGGAAGAUGCCACAUGGCUGGGUGUCUGCUAUGGGAAGCUAGAGCACAGAAACAGGAAGUGGUGUCCUGGAAGUCUGCUGAAGGUCAGUGACGGGGGCAUCAAUCCAAGGGGCUUAAUGGAGAAUCAGACCCAAUAUAUGGAGGUGAAAUGGGAACCAGGGGAUCAGGGAGGUGGAGGAAUAAGGACUGGUGGGGCUGCUAAAUGGGAGACACCCGCGAGAAGCUGUGGAUGGCUGGUGAGCAGACAUAUAUUACCAUGUAUCCUGGGAUGGCUCAAACUCAUGAGGCAUGUGAAAUUCGGUUAAAGAGGAUGGAAUGAAUGACUACUGACUUGAUCUAUCAGGUCAGACUAAUGGAUUAAAUAGAGAUAAAUGGAAACCACCACUCCUGCAUCCUUUAAAUCUGACUGUGGCAAUAAUUCAUUCUCUCCAACAAAAGGUCAGAUUUUUUUUUUAUUCAGUACCUCAACUGGAGGGGCUUCUGAUGUCAAAUACUCAGUGAGGCACUGUAUUUUAAUGGAAAACUGCUUAAAUCUUAAAUUAAGAUUUAAAGAUUGAGCAAAAGAUGUCAAAUUUAUCCAUUCAUUAAGAAAAUCCUUUUU
rnacentral:lncRNA from 1 species